GACUGCCGGUAAUAAACCGGAGGAAGGUGGGAUGACGUCAAUCAUCAUGCCCCUUAUGACCUGGGCUACACACGUGCUACAAUGGUUGGUACAACGAGUUGCGAGUCGGUGACGGCGAGCUAAUCUCUUAAAGCCAAUCUCAGUUCGGAUUGUAGGCUGCAACUCGCCUACAUGAAGUCGGAAUCGCUAGUAAUCGCGGAUCAGCACGCCGCGGUGAAUACGUUCCCGGGCCUU
rnacentral:rRNA from 1 species